AGACGCCCAAAGGGCAGCGGACUCGCAUCUCUCUUUCUUCCUCCUCAGUUCCUCCUCUCUUCUCCCGAUACGGACUCUUCCCCAUCCCAUUCCUCUUCUAAGAUCUGCAAGUAGUGGGUAGCUAUGGAGGCCCUGCGCCUUGUGAGGACGCAGCGGUGCCACCGCCUGUCCCCACUCUUUUUUUCUAUGGGUUGUUUCCCCUCCGGCAGUGGCAGCACUAGGGUUUGGCGUUUGACCGUCCGCGGCAGCAGGGGCGCAACACAGUCAGGGGCUGGUAUUAGGUUGAAUGGAUCCUGCGAAGGAGGCUGGAUCCAUGGCAUUCGCAGAUUCGUUUGAUGGCUGCGCCUCUGAUGGCGACCUGAUCCGUCACAUCUACUCUAAACUGCUGCUUUGAAUACUCUGAAGAAGCCUCAUUGAAGGCUGAAUGCUUCUAUCUGAACGUACUUGGGGUCUUGAACUCUUGAUCUCUUCUAGCUUGUGGGCUUAUGUGUAUGUGCACAGGCCGGCAAUCCAUUUAUUAAAACACACGAUUAACACUAGUACAUUGAGAGAGAGAUUCAAAGGAAUUGAUCUUGAGAAAAUUAAGAAUGCAUUUCAAAAGUAGAAAGAUAGGAAAAUGCAAUUACCUAGGUUUUCAGUGUCACUCGGUUUGUCCAUUGAAUUCAUUCGCAUCUUUUUUCAAUAUUUUAUCUUAAUAUUCG
rnacentral:lncRNA from 1 species